AUGUGUUGUGAAUACACUUUCGUUUUAACUUAACAACUGAUACUCUUUAUAUGCGUAUCACCAAUUCAAAUUUGAGUUGCCGGAAUACAGAAGUAGCUAAAAAAUUAACAUCGUUUAGGCAAUUCUGUAUAAAAAGUUGUUGUUGUUGGAAUUUCAUUGAAAAGGGAUGCCAAUUACCAAAGCAAAUUGCAAAAGCUUUCCGUUGUCGAUGGUGGCAGGAGUUACCGCCGCAAGUAAAUAUUGAAAGAAUUUCGUUUCGAAUUGUUUUUGAAGUCGCUUAGUUGAAACAUUAAUUUAUUGGACGUUUGCUGAGCGUUUUAUUUGGGGUCCGGUUAAUUUAAAUAUCGGAAAUCGGAAAUAAUCGGUGUUCGACGAGCGCCGCCGUUCUCAAGUUAAGAUCCACUGAACAAGGAUCAGGAAAAUAGUUCUUGGCGACGAAAAAGAAAACGAUCCUAAAAGAAUGGAUUCCUCAUUUCCUCAUGAUACCUCGAAAAAUACCGAACCCGCGGAAAAUAUGACCUGGAUGGAAGACGCUACUAAAAACUGCAGGCUACGACUCCUACCGAUAAAGCGGAUGAAGAAAAACCGGAUCGGAUUUUUUCUACGUUGAUGUCUAUCGGAGCGAAAAGAUCAAAGCGGUGUAACAAAGUCAAUCGGGCCUCAC